rnacentral:rRNA from 1 species
GACGAACGCUGGCGGCAUGCCUAAUACAUGCAAGUCGAGCGAACAGAUGAAGUGCUUGCACUUCUGACGUUAGCGGCGAACAGGUGAGUAACACGUAAGGAAUCUACCUAUAAGCGGGGGAUAACAUUCGGAAACGGGUGCUAAUACCGCAUAAUAUCUUCUUCCGCAUGGAAGAAGAUUGAAAGACGGCUCUGCUGUCACUUAUAGAUGACCUCGCGGUGCAUUAGUUAGUUGGUGGGGUAACGGCCUACCAAGACGAUGAUGCAUAGCCGACCUGAGAGGGUGAUCGGCCACAUUGGGACUGAGACACGGCCCAAACUCCUACGGGAGGCAGCAGUAGGGAAUCUUCCGCAAUGGGCGAAAGCCUGACGGAGCAAUGCCGCGUGAGUGAAGAAGGCCUUCGGGUCGUAAAACUCUGUUAUAAGAGAAGAACAAAUUGUAGAGUAACUGCUACAGUCUUGACGGUAUCUUAUCAGAAAGCCACGGCUAACUACGUGCCAGCAGCCGCCGUAA